AGUGAACGCUGGCGGUAGGCCUAACACAUGCAAGUCGAACGGCAGCACAGGAGAGCUUGCUCUCUGGGUGGCGAGUGGCGGACGGGUGAGGAAUACAUCGGAAUCUACUCUGUCGUGGGGGAUAACGUAGGGAAACUUACGCUAAUACCGCAUACGACCUACGGGUGAAAGCAGGGGACCUUCGGGCCUUGCGCGAUUGAAUGAGCCGAUGUCGGAUUAGCUAGUUGGCGGGGUAAAGGCCCACCAAGGCGACGAUCCGUAGCUGGUCUGAGAGGGUGAUCAGCAACACUGGAACGGAGACACGGUCCAGACUCCUACGGGAGCCAGCAGUGGGGAAUAUUGGACAAUGGGCGCAAGCCUGAUCCAGCCAUACCGCGUGGGUGAAGAAGGCCUUCGGGUUGUAAAGCCCUUUUGUUGGGAAAGAAAUCCAGCUGGCUAAUACCCGGUUGGGAUGACGGUACCCAAAGAAUAAGCACCGGCUAACUUCGUGCCAGCCGCCGCAGUAA
rnacentral:rRNA from 1 species